GCCGCAGCUCAGCCUGCAGAUCGUCCAUCCUCUCUCCCGGAGUGGGUGUCGCAGGUUCGAAUCCUGCCGGGGCACCA
rnacentral:tRNA from 1 species